rnacentral:tRNA from 1 species
GCGGACGUGGCGAAACUGGUAGACGCACGGGACUUAAAAUCCCUCGCCCCUACGGGCAUGCGGGUUCGAGUCCCGCCGUCCGCA